AGUAAUGUAUGGGGAUCUGCCUGAUGGCGGGGGAUAACUACUGGAAACGGUAGCUAAUACCGCAUAAUGUCGCAAGACCAAAGAGGGGGACCUUCGGGCCUCUUGCCAUCGGAUGUGCCCAGAUGGGAUUAGCUAGUAGGUGGGGUAACGGCUCACCUAGGCGACGAUCCCUAGCUGGUCUGAGAGGAUGACCAGCCACACUGGAACUGAGACACGGUCCAG
rnacentral:rRNA from 1 species